rnacentral:rRNA from 1 species
UACGAAGGGGGCUAGCGUUGUUCGGAAUCACUGGGCGUAAAGCGCACGUAGGCGGAUUUGUAAGUCAGGGGUGAAAUCCCGGGGCUCAACCUCGGAACUGCCUUUGAUACUGCGAAUCUUGAGUCCGAUAGAGGUGGGUGGAAUUCCUAGUGUAGAGGUGAAAUUCGUAGAUAUUAGGAAGAACACCGGUGGCGAAGGCGGCCCACUGGAUCGGUACUGACGCUGAGGUGCGAAAGCGUGGGGAGCAAACAGG